AUCCUGGUAGCUUAAUACAAAGCAUCGGCCUUGUAAACCAAAGACGGAAAGAAACUUUCCCUGGGAUA
rnacentral:tRNA from 1 species